GGGACAGAACCAAUAUAAAAAACAAUCAAAUGACCGGGAAAUUCAAUUUUAACAAACGUCUUGUAUCCUGCGAAUUGUUGUAAUGUAUGCUUGGGAAAUCCCCAUUCCACCUAUUUUUAGUGCGUUUAACUUGGUUUUACCCUCUGUUUUGCUAUUGUUUUUUUCGUAGUCGUCAAAAGGAAAAAAGUUUGAAAAGAGGCCAAAGGUUCAAACCUCGUGCAUGGAGGCUAUUCUUGUAAUCCCAUAUUAUCACGCUACAAGAAUUAGCCGUACGAGAGGGUUAGAAGAGUUUCGUUUUAUUUUUUUUAUUUCAUUAAUACACACACAAAAUACCCUUUUCAACUGGGUUUUCUAUAGUAAAGGCUACUCAUCGCUAUCGUACUCUGUUUAAUGAGUGCAUACAUAUACGGCAUGGCAUUGUCGAUUUCCUUUUCCAAAGAGACGAGCUGAGGGCUCAACUGAUGUAAAAGAAACUCAACGAGAGAAGAUCUAGUGAGAUGACCUACUUGACUUUCUCCCAACUUUUCUCCCCUUCUUUUCGUCUUACUCUCUUUUCUUUGUCUUUCUCUCUAAAGCUAUCUGUCUAUGCAUCGCCCCCUUAUAUUCCGUUUUGCUUAUUCAUAUACCUAUUCUUCUGCUAACAGUCGUCUACCUGGUAGACCGAGAUCGCUUUCGCCCCGAUUCUAUGUGAUGCUGUCUGCCGUACGUUAGUGCCGGUACCUGGGCAAAGGUGCCAUACACCAAACACCCAUUUCGUAGCGUGUAAUACUUAUACUACGCGCGUGCAAUAUAAGAGAGGAAAAGAGGACGACCCGUCCAAUAUAUACCUCCUUUUCUUGUACCCAUAUACGUUUUAGUCGUUUCACCUGCAUAUGCCCCUUUUUCCCAACAUGACCCCGUCUGUGUGUGAUGUGCGUACUCCCUGAAAAGACCAGACAGACCAGACACCGAAGAGAAAGAAGGGGAAAAACUUUCUCCAUUGACGCAGUUCUCCAUUCGUUGGCAUUCUUUUAUUCAACCUGCAUUUGUCGUAUUGGCUGUCUUGCUGAUUUUUUCAGUUUGCUCGGCUUGCCAUCUUCAAAAACGUCAAUUCAAAUCAGCAAGUUAAUUAUUUUUGUUUGUUUGUUUGUUUUUUCGUUGUUAUAUACCAACUGGUCGAGAAUGGGUCGGCAGCUUUCGUUCGAAUUCUUGCCACUCCCUAAAUGAGGAUUUGGAAAACGCGGAAAUCAGAUUGGAUAAUAAAGAAAGUAUCUGGUAGAGCUAUAAAAAUAAUAAUUUUGGCGAAGCAACAAACCAGCAGAGAGAAAGGGGGCUACCGAAAAUACCGGAUUGACGUGUAUGUCCGGAUUGUAGUAUGUGCGUAUGUACAAAGAAAAACUGUUAUGGUAACCCACUCACGCAUCAACAGCAGGAUUCCAUUCAUUCGACUUUCUCCUCGGUGUAAUGAAGUCACGUCGCAUGUUUGGUAAGAAAUCAACCAAAAGAAAAGAAAAAAAGAAAAAAGGAAUCGGACGAUUGGGCAAAAGGGCGUGGCGCGUUUUUCAAUUGGCUAUCUUUGAUGUCUCUCCUUUUCUUUCUCUUCAUCGCUACCAGAAUAGAAGAAGAAAACAAAAAAUGCCAGUGAUUUUUAUCGGCGGUCGGCGAUACGUCGACCAACUUCACAUUUCUCAACCGAACUUGAUCACUUCAUAAUCGUAGACAUAUAGUAUUUUCUCUCUUUGUCCAAAUGUUUUCUCUCAUUCUCAGUCAAUCUGCUGCCGUUGGGUUGGACACGGUUUCUCUUCGACACGUCCCGGCGAUAGCUCUCCAAUCCAUCAUGCGUGUAUGUGAGAACAAAGCAGCCCACAGUAGUCAAACUUCGUGUAAACUAAAUACUAAAACUAGGCAACAACAACAACAAAAUUCUCUUACAUUCUCGAGUCUUAUGUCUUUGUAAUGGCUGCUGACUGGCCGUGGUACCUGUUGCUAUAUUGCCGGUAGCAGCCAAGAAAAAAACAGGCACACACGCAGCAAGGCAAACACUUUCACCUGGGAAGACGUGCAUCUUAUAUCCAAAAUGGUUUUCUUCAAAACUAUAAUUCGAAUAUCAGAAGAGGGGAAGAAAAAAAGAGAGAACAGGCCAUACCUUUGACCUCCUCUUCGUCCUCUAGAGGAUUUUCCAUUUUUAUGUCAUUCGAGGAGAGGCAAGGCCUUUGCUAUACAGGUGAAGAGGUAUCACUUUCAUCAAGAUAAUAUAUACUCUCUAAAUCAAGAGUAGCCCCCCUAAUGUUUUGUUUUCUCUCGUUUUAAGUCGUUCUUGUCCAUCCCAUCUUAUUACUAUUCCUGCAGCUAUGCCCUUCAUUCUUUUGUUUUUGUUUUCUUCUGUACGGCAUCAAUUCUCUAGUCGGCACUUAAAUCAAUUCAUCUCGAUAUUACAAGAGAUCCGUGACCUGUUUCCAGUGACCGAAUAAAAGCUUAAUACAAAGGAGACAGAGGCCUUGUCCAUUAUUCGAAAUUCCAAAGCCUCUUGGACAGAAAUAAACCAGGGGAAAAAUAAAGGAGACUGAAGAAAAGCUUCCUUUCUGUAUGCGCAAGUCGUGUAUUGAUGAUUAAUGAAUGGGCGAAAAUUGUGUAAUGAAUACAAGAGAAAGGGUGAAUGUUUUAAA